rnacentral:rRNA from 1 species
GGUUAAGCGACUAAGCGUACACGGUGGAUGCCCUGGCAGUCAGAGGCGAUGAAGGACGUGCUAAUCUGCGAUAAGCGUCGGUAAGGUGAUAUGAACCGUUAUAACCGGCGAUUUCCGAAUGGGGAAACCCAGUGUGAUUCGUCACACUAUCAUUAACUGAAUCCAUAGGUUAAUGAGGCGAACCGGGGGAACUGAAACAUCUAAGUACCCCGAGGAAAAGAAAUCAACCGAGAUUCCCCCAGUAGCGGCGAGCGAACGGGGAGCAGCCCAGAGCCUGAAUCAGUGUGUGUGUUAGUGGAAGCGUCUGGAAAGGCGCGCGAUACAGGGUGACAGCCCCGUACACAAAAAUGCACAUACUGUGAGCUCGAUGAGUAGGGCGGGACACGUGGUAUCCUGUCUGAAUAUGGGGGGACCAUCCUCCAAGGCUAAAUACUCCUGACUGACCGAUAGUGAACCAGUACCGUGAGGGAAAGGCGAAAAGAACCCCGGCGAGGGGAGUGAAAAAGAACCUGAAACCGUGUACGUACAAGCAGUGGGAGCACAGAGCAAUCUGUGUGACUGCGUACCUUUUGUAUAAUGGGUCAGCGACUUAUAUUCUGUAGCAAGGUUAACCGAAUAGGGGAGCCGAAGGGAAACCGAGUCUUAACUGGGCGUUAAGUUGCAGGGUAUAGACCCGAAACCCGGUGAUCUAGCCAUGGGCAGGUUGAAGGUUGGGUAACACUAACUGGAGGACCGAACCGACUAAUGUUGAAAAAUUAGCGGAUGACUUGUGGCUGGGGGUGAAAGGCCAAUCAAACCGGGAGAUAGCUGGUUCUCCCCGAAAGCUAUUUAGGUAGCGCCUCGUGAAUUCAUCUCCGGGGGUAGAGCACUGUUUCGGCAAGGGGGUCAUCCCGACUUACCAACCCGAUGCAAACUGCGAAUACCGGAGAAUGUUAUCACGGGAGACACACGGCGGGUGCUAACGUCCGUCGUGAAGAGGGAAACAACCCAGACCGCCAGCUAAGGUCCCAAAGUCAUGGUUAAGUGGGAAACGAUGUGGGAAGGCCCAGACAGCCAGGAUGUUGGCUUAGAAGCAGCCAUCAUUUAAAGAAAGCGUAAUAGCUCACUGGUCGAGUCGGCCUGCGCGGAAGAUGUAACGGGGCUAAACCAUGCACCGAAGCUGCGGCAGCGACGCUUAUGCGUUGUUGGGUAGGGGAGCGUUCUGUAAGCCAGUGAAGGUGUACUGUGAGGUAUGCUGGAGGUAUCAGAAGUGCGAAUGCUGACAUAAGUAACGAUAAAGCGGGUGAAAAGCCCGCUCGCCGGAAGACCAAGGGUUCCUGUCCAACGUUAAUCGGGGCAGGGUGAGUCGACCCCUAAGGCGAGGCCGAAAGGCGUAGUCGAUGGGAAACAGGUUAAUAUUCCUGUACUUGGUGUUACUGCGAAGGGGGGACGGAGAAGGCUAUGUUGGCCGGGCGACGGUUGUCCCGGUUUAAGCGUGUAGGCUGGUUUUCCAGGCAAAUCCGGAAAAUCAAGGCUGAGGCGUGAUGACGAGGCACUACGGUGCUGAAGCAACAAAUGCCCUGCUUCCAGGAAAAGCCUCUAAGCAUCAGGUAACAUCAAAUCGUACCCCAAACCGACACAGGUGGUCAGGUAGAGAAUACCAAGGCGCUUGAGAGAACUCGGGUGAAGGAACUAGGCAAAAUGGUGCCGUAACUUCGGGAGAAGGCACGCUGAUAUGUAGGUGAAGUCCCUCGCGGAUGGAGCUGAAAUCAGUCGAAGAUACCAGCUGGCUGCAACUGUUUAUUAAAAACACAGCACUGUGCAAACACGAAAGUGGACGUAUACGGUGUGACGCCUGCCCGGUGCCGGAAGGUUAAUUGAUGGGGUUAGCGCAAGCGAAGCUCUUGAUCGAAGCCCCGGUAAACGGCGGCCGUAACUAUAACGGUCCUAAGGUAGCGAAAUUCCUUGUCGGGUAAGUUCCGACCUGCACGAAUGGCGUAAUGAUGGCCAGGCUGUCUCCACCCGAGACUCAGUGAAAUUGAACUCGCUGUGAAGAUGCAGUGUACCCGCGGCAAGACGGAAAGACCCCGUGAACCUUUACUAUAGCUUGACACUGAACAUUGAGCCUUGAUGUGUAGGAUAGGUGGGAGGCUUUGAAGUGUGGACGCCAGUCUGCAUGGAGCCGACCUUGAAAUACCACCCUUUAAUGUUUGAUGUUCUAACGUUGACCCGUAAUCCGGGUUGCGGACAGUGUCUGGUGGGUAGUUUGACUGGGGCGGUCUCCUCCUAAAGAGUAACGGAGGAGCACGAAGGUUGGCUAAUCCUGGUCGGACAUCAGGAGGUUAGUGCAAUGGCAUAAGCCAGCUUGACUGCGAGCGUGACGGCGCGAGCAGGUGCGAAAGCAGGUCAUAGUGAUCCGGUGGUUCUGAAUGGAAGGGCCAUCGCUCAACGGAUAAAAGGUACUCCGGGGAUAACAGGCUGAUACCGCCCAAGAGUUCAUAUCGACGGCGGUGUUUGGCACCUCGAUGUCGGCUCAUCACAUCCUGGGGCUGAAGUAGGUCCCAAGGGUAUGGCUGUUCGCCAUUUAAAGUGGUACGCGAGCUGGGUUUAGAACGUCGUGAGACAGUUCGGUCCCUAUCUGCCGUGGGCGCUGGAGAACUGAGGGGGGCUGCUCCUAGUACGAGAGGACCGGAGUGGACGCAUCACUGGUGUUCGGGUUGUCAUGCCAAUGGCACUGCCCGGUAGCUAAAUGCGGAAGAGAUAAGUGCUGAAAGCAUCUAAGCACGAAACUUGCCCCGAGAUGAGUUCUCCCUGACUCCUUGAGAGUCCUGAAGGAACGUUGAAGACGACGACGUUGAUAGGCCGGAUGUGUAAGCGCAGCGAUGCGUUGAGCUAACCGGUACUAAUGAACCGUGAGGCUUAACCUU